GUUCAGAGUUGAUUUUAACUCCUGAAGUGUUAUUUUAACACUUUCUGUGUUAGCUGACAGCCAGUGUUAGAGCUGAUUUCAGCAGUGUUGUCUGAACUCUGGAGAGAGUUAAAUAAGCUCCAAAAUUUUAACACRAACAGUGAAAGAAAAUAACACAAUUGUGAGUUAAAAGUGCACUUAUACAGUGUCAUAAAAAACCACCAAUGGGUGUCAAAUACUUGACACUUUAAAAGUGUUAAAUAUCAACACUUUUCAAAGUGUAAUUUUAACUCAGAAUCUGUGAGUAGUGUAGCAGGAACGUAAGAAAACAGUUCCACACAAGAACUUCCUCCUCUUCCCAUACUAUAGAGAACAAUGGCUUUCUCCACUGUCUACAAAUGCUAAAAUAAACAGGAACUGCAAACUUCCGUUGAUUAAGCCCUGUUGUGAGACCCCUUUUAAGUGUUCAAAAUGGCCGUUUAUAACAAAGGACCCACCAUUUGCCCAGACGGAAAGUCUCCAGAAGUGGGUUUACAAUCCACACAUAGACCCUAGCAGACUGUGUCCCUUGCUGAGAUAAUGCCCACGAACUAUCUUCAAAGACAUACAAUCUCAUUUAUGGUCUUAGAGCGCCCCUAAAGGCUYGUCUCAUAAUCACAUCAUGAGCAAAUGUUUUUCUGGGUAAAUUUCUGUUGUUUGGUUGUCUGAUAAAAAAAAGAAAAAAAAAGAAACAAUGUAUUUUUCUAUCAUGCCUCAAUCACUGUGAUAAUAUCUUGAUUUAAUCACUGUACAGGUAACCACGUCAAUCUGUGUUUUGUUCAAUCAUUUUAGAAGCAGAACCGUGAUCUCAGUGAAGCAGGUGACACCCCAUGUGACUUCUCUCUCAGCCAAUCAGAAGUUUGUAAAGUCAGGACAAGAGAUAACAUUUUUAGUAUUUCAAGAGGGUUUAGAAACAGCAGCCAGAGAGAACGGACCAGGAGUUUCAGGUUCCUUCAUUCCCUUCGGGGACAUUUAUUUUAAUUUUAAUUUCUUUUUUAGUUUAAUUUUUGUAGCGUAGGGACGCGAUUUGUUCGGGAAACUGAACUGACCAGAACUUCGGUCCGAACCAUCUAGACCCGAACCGACUUCCUCAUCUGUAGCUUGAAGCCGACCCCAGACAGCCUCGGCGUGUCCAGCUGUACCCGAACGGGACCCCCUUUGAGACCGAGCAGCACCGGUGACCAUCCUCGCUCAGAUCUCCUGGACUCAGAAGGAAGAGCUGGGUGGAGGUCCACCUGUGCCCCCUCAGGAUCAACAGCUGUGCACAGCUGCAUCACCGAGGAGGUGUGAACCAGCAUGUUGGACAAAAUCUGCAGACGUCAGCACAAGUUGUGUGAACACUGUAAUGUGACAGGGCCUGUGGUGACAACACACUAGUUCUGAAAUUCUCCCUCUAAAACAUCUCAACACGGUCUUUUUAAAGUCUGGGUAAGUGUAAUGUCUAAGAGUGGGGGCCUCUUCUCAGGAAUGCACAGAUGUGUUACGUCUCUUAGUUCUCCAGCUUCAGAUCUCGGCACAUUACCAUAUUAGGGAAAGGAAUGCUUAAGGUAUACCGUGACAAAAUUUAUGGUACAUCUGUUGAACUACACUGUGAGGCCUAUAAAGAGCCUUGCACGCCCCCACCCUUGGCCUUCGUUCUUCAUCUUUCUUACUUGGUGAAUCAUUUGGCUUGGAGGCCACAAUUUGGUUUUUGGCUGUA